CCCUGACGGCGGUUGAAAAAUGGCGACUGUUGCCGAGCUGAAGGCUGUUUUAAAGGACACCUUGGAGAAAAGAGGAGUAUUAGGGCAUUUAAAAGCAAGGAUCCGAGCUGAAGUUUUCAAUGCCCUGAAUGAUGAAAGUGAGCCCCGACCGCCACUGUCUCAUGAAAACCUUCUAAUUAAUGAAUUAAUUCGGGAGUAUUUGGAAUUCAACAAAUAUAAGUAUACAGCAUCUGUCCUCAUAUCAGAAUCCGGUCAGCCUGUAGUUCCAUUGGACAGACAGUUUCUCAUCCGGGAACUAAAUGCAUUUGAAGAAUCAAAAGAUAACACAAUACCUCUUUUAUAUGGCAUUUUAGCUCAUUUCUUGCAUGGAGCUAAGGAGGAUCUCCAAAGUCCGUCUCUGAGAGGCUCUUCACUGCGGCCUCCAAACCCACAUCUUGGCAGACAUCCUAGCGGAAGAAGGCAAAGGGAAGCCCAUCCACCUGAAAUAGAAAACGUGAACAUGAAAUUCUCUUCUAUUUGGACACAUGCCUGAAGCAGGCCAGCGUGAAAGCACUUCUCUCGGAGAGCUCUCAGUUGCUGAAGACUCACAGGAUGACCACCUAAGAAAAGAGAAGGGGAUUGUUACUAAUAAUGAAGAUCAUCUUGUUUCUCAAGCAGCGAAGAGAUGACAUUUCCAUCCGGGGCAUCUUUUGUCUCAAAAUUGUGUAUUAGGUAGCAUAUUUAUUCUCCCACCAUUACUGAAAUACAUCGCUGAUACUUGUACUUUGUAGAAAUUCGAGUUUCUGCGAAACAUUUAGCACCUCCUGUUUUUCUACUUUUGUGAAUAAAAGCUGACUCUGUCUUCUAGCUACUUGGAUUUGACUUGAAAGAAAAAAACGUUGUUUUUAGAAGGUGUGAUAACGUUUUUUUAAAUUUGGGAGAACUGAAGGGAUUUUUUAGUACACUGUAUAUUCUUAAAAAAAAAUUCAGGUCUUUAUAGUCAUAUGCUCUGCUCUUUAACAAAAUUACAUUAAUGAAAUUUCCUUCAGGCUAGAAUUAUGUGGAUUUGUAGAAAAACGGAUUCAUGUUCUAAGGAAACAUUUAAAAGAAUACUAAAGCCAGAAAAAACUAAUUCCUGUAAACUGUGUUUUUUUCCCCUAUGUUUAGUGAUUUUUCAGAUAACCAUUUAUAAUUAGGUUUAAAUAUCUGAAUUACUAUCUAAAUUUGAACUUUUAAACUAGGUAACAAUGUAGCUUUUCUUUCCUUGGAUCAUUUUGGCUUCUACUGGAAGAUUUAAUUAAAAGGUAGAGGGGGAAAUAAUUCUUUUAAUUUUUCUGUAAGUGAAACAAAGAGUUUAUUAUAUAAAGAAUGUGGAGUAAGCAUGAAGAGACAGGCUUUAGGAGAAACACCAGAAAUCGCUUUUUAAGCGACGGCCUCCUGUAACCUCGGUGUGGCCUCACUUCCUGAAGGAGAGGAGCCGCCCGGGGGCCCCGCGCCGGCUCGGGCUCUCGCGGUCUCCUGGACGUCCGUUUUUGUUCUUGGGAUGAAAACGUUGCGAAGAGCUCUUAGUGUGCUCUCUCUAAAAUGCCAUUUUGCUAUUUAUUAAGACGUGUUUAUGACGCGGGACCCCCAGACUGGUGCCCGACCACACCUGCUCCGCAGUCAGCAGGGGAAUGCGGGCCGCCACUCACCGACAGCGCUCGGCUUACACACCCCUGCGGGGAGCGUGGGCCCGGCCGGAGCUGCGCCAGUGUCGUCUCCAGGGAGCUGAUGCGGUGCUGCAUUCGGAAGCUAUUGACACUUCGGAGUUUCUGUGUGGCGGUCAGUGUUCAGUCCUUACACGUUAUUACCGAGAACUUCUGCCCGAGCACAGAAAGUUGUUGAGGAAGCCCCCUGGAGCGCUGCUGUACAGGCGAGGGGACUUGGCGCAGCCCUCUUGACCAGCCAGAAUGACAGAGAGAGAAGUGCUAUCAGGGCUCAUUUCCAGUUUUAAAUGAAAUCUGUAGUAUCUGGUAACAAUACAGAUUCCAUUGUAUUGGGUGUGGGGGUAUAAAUACCUGAAUUCUUCUCAGAGGGCUUGGUUCACACCCAAGGAUGUUGCAGUGGACGCCAGCUUUCCCUCAGGAAUUGGAAUCAUGCGGGACUAGAUUAAGAAAAAAUGCUGGAGUUCAUCGGCUCGGAGACUGAUACAAAAUCAUUGCAACAGAAUUAGCUAAACAGUUGUCACGUGUAGUCCGUGGUGCUUUUGUCUGCCUGGUCCUGUCGUUUGUUUGCACCGAGGCCACUUUGAUACUUGGGAUGUAUCAUUUAAUAAAAAACACUGAAGCAACUCA